rnacentral:rRNA from 1 species
GACGAACGCUGGCGGCGUGCUUAACACAUGCAAGUCGAACGGUAAGGCCCUUCGGGGUACACGAGUGGCGAACGGGUGAGUAACACGUGGGUGAUCUGCCUUGCACUUCGGGAUAAGCCUGGGAAACUGGGUCUAAUACCGGAUAGGACUCCUGGCUUCAUGGUUGGGGGUGGAAAGCUUUUGCGGUGUGGGAUGGGCCCGCGGCCUAUCAGCUUGUUGGUGGGGUAAUGGCCUACCAAGGCGACGACGGGUAGCCGGCCUGAGAGGGUGACCGGUCACACUGGGACUGAGAUACGGCCCAGACGCCUACGGGAGGCAGCAGUGGGGAAUAUUGCACAAUGGGCGCAAGCCUGAUGCAGCGACGCCGCGUGAGGGAUGACGGCCUUCGGGUUGUAAACCUCUUUCAGCUAUGACGAAGCGCAAGUGACGGUAGUAGCAGAAGAAGGACCGGCCAACUACGUGCCAGCAGCCGCAGUAA